GAUGAACGCUGGCGGCGUGCCUAAUACAUGCAAGUCGAGCGGACGGACGAGGAGCUUGCUUUUCUGAUGUUAGCGGCGGACGGGUGAGUAACACGUGGAUAACCUACCUAUCAGACUGGGAUAACUUCGGGAAACCGGCGCUAAUACCGUAUAAUAUCUUGAACCACAUGGUUCAAAAGUGAAAUACGGUCUUGCUGUCACGUAUAGCUGGAUCCGCGCUUCAUUAGCUAGUUGUUACGGUAACGGCUUACCAAGGCAACGAUGCAUAGCCGACCUGAGAGGGGGAUCGGCCACAUUAGAACGGGGACAGCGACCAGAGGCCUGCGGGAGGCAGCAGUAGGGAAUCGGCCGCAGCGGGCGAAAGCAUGACGGAGCAACGCCGAGUGAGUGAUGAAGGUGUUCGGAUCGGAAAACUCUGUUAUGAGUGAAGAACAUAUGUGUAAGUAGACGUGGCCAGAUUGACGGUACUGAGUCAGGAAGCCACGGCUAACUACGUG
rnacentral:rRNA from 1 species